GCCUGACUGGCUCAGUUGGGAGAGCAUGAGACUCUUGAUCUUGGGGUCAUGAGUUUGAGCCCCAAGUUGGGCA
rnacentral:tRNA from 1 species